CAUAUGCUUGUCUCAAAGAUUAAGCCAUGCAAGUCUAAGUAUAAGCAACUAUACGGCGAAACUGCGAACGGCUCAUUAUAUAAGUUAUCGUUUAUUUGAUAGCACCUUACUACUUGGGUAACCGUGGUAAUUCUAGAGCUAAUACAUGCUGAAAAUCCCGACUCCGGAAGGGAUGUGUUUAUUAGAUCCAAAGCCAACGCCCCCCGGGCUCACUGGUGAUUCAUGAUAACCGCUCGAAUCGCACGGCCUUGCGCCGGCGAUGGUUCAUUCAAAUUUCUUCCCUAUCAACUUUCGAUGUUUGGGUAGUGGCCAAACAUGGUUGCAACGGGUAACGGAGGGUUAGGGCUCGACCCCGGAGAAGGAGCCUGAGAGACGGCUACUACAUCCAAGGAAGGCAGCAGGCGCGCAAAUUACCCAAUCCCGACGCGGGGAGGUAGUGACAAUAAAUACCGAUAUAGGGCUCUUUUGGGUCUUAUAAUUGGAAUGAGUACAAUUUAAACCCCUUAACGAGGAACAAUUGGAGGGCAAGUCUGGUGCCAGCAGCCGCGGUAAUUCCAGCUCCAAUAGCGUAUAUUAAAGUUGUUGUGGUUAAAAAGCCCGUAGUUGAACGUUGGGCCUGGCCGGCCGGUCCGCCUCACCGCGUGCACUGGCCCGGCCGGGCCUUUCCCUCCGCGGAACCCCAUGCCCUUCGCUGGGCGUGGCGGGGAAACGGGACGUUUACUUUGAAAAAAUUAGAGUGCUCCAGGCAGGCCUAUGCUCGAAUACAUUAGCAUGGAAUAAUGGAAUAGGACGCGCGGUUCUAUUUUGUUGGUUUCUGGGACCGCCGUAAUGAUUGACAGGGACAGUCGGGGGCGUCAGUAUUCGACCGUCAGAGGUGAAAUUCUUGGACCGGUCGAAGACUAACUACUGCGAAAGCAUUCGCCAAGCAUGUUUUCAUUAAUCAGGGACGAAAGCUAGGGGAUCGAAGACGAUCAGAUACCGUCGUAGUCUUAGCCAUAAACUAUGCCGACUAGGGAUCGGGCGGUGUUAUCCUUUGACCCGCUCGGCACCUUACGAGAAAUCAAAGUGCUUGGGCUCCAGGGGGAG
rnacentral:rRNA from 1 species